rnacentral:lncRNA from 1 species
CAGCUCCCCCUCAGCAGGCUCUCUCUCUCUCUUUUUUUUUUUCCUCUCUCUCUCCUUUGCACAGAAGGGAGUCCCAGAGCCAGUUCCCUUGCCCGGAGAUGUUCCCAGCCCCAGGAGCUCCCAACCCCUUUGCAGGCUGGCUGGCCAGAGAGAGAAUUUCGGACAGGAUUUAGGCCUGGAAUUUCCCUCCAAAUGGGCGGUGUCGAUCAGGGUAAAAUGAAUACGUGGACAUUUACUACGGAGACAAAGUUGGAAAGAACCUGCUAGGCAGAGGGAACAGCACAGAGUUUCCAGGAGUACUGCCUAAGGAGAACAUGCGCGAGAAGGAAGCCCACACAGAGGAGAGCAGAGACCAAGCCCUGCAGACAUUGUCCGGGCUGUGCCAAAGACAGACUCACCCCUGGACUCUUCAGUGAUAUAAGCCAAUAAAUUACUUUUUUGUUGUUGUUUUUGUCUUAAGCAAGUAUGAGUUGGGUUCCUGUCCUUUGAAACAAAGAUCUAUCGAAGCCUCCCCCCAUUAUUCCUCAUUGUUAACAGCUGUGUUUCCUUCUUGCCUUUUUCUCCCAUGCUUACACAGACAUACUGGACACUUUCUAAAUAAAAAUUGACGCCACUGGCUACUCCUUUCUUCAAGAUAUACUCUUUCGCUUAUUUUUGUAAAGCCUAGCUCCCGGUUUUCGGCUCUCUUCCUGCCCCU